UCUGUCCGUCGACGGAGCUCCAAGCACCACCGUAAAGGCGGAAAGAAACACCAAGAUAAAGCGCAGACAUCGGACAUUGACCAGUCACAGCCACGGCAGCCACAGGAGCAGCUUAGUGGCGUGGAUGGAGUGACGCAAGCAGCUUCGGGCACGACGCUUGCGACGUCACCGUCCCAGUCAUCGGACAAGGCGUUGUCGCCUCAGCCACCGGAGCCGCAAGCGGCGGUCGAGGUGAAGAAAGCGGCCGGGCGCGCAGGCGACGAGGAAAGGUUGGUUGUCUCGGAGCGCCGCGACAGUCCGCAGCCGACCGCCACCACAACCUCCGGACUGCUGGAGUACUGGCCCCUGGCCGCCACCAUCGUGGUGCUCGUGGUGGUCAUCCUGGUGCAGUUGCUGAUUGCCGCACCUAUCCGGCUGCAGAGGGC